AGAGUUUGAUCAUGGCUCAGGAUGAACGCUAGCUACAGGCUUAACACAGUGCAAGUCGAGGGGGAAACGAUAUUGGAAGCUGCUUCCGAUAGGCGUCGACCGGCGUACGGGUGAGUAACGCGUAUCCAACCUGCCCACCACUUGGGGAUAACCUUGCGAAAGUAAGACUAAUACCCAAUGACGUCUCUAGAAGACAUCUGAAAGAGAUUAAAGAUUUANCGGUGAUGGAUGGGGAUGCGUCUGAUUAGCCUGUUGGCGGGGUAACGGCCCACCAAGGCGACGAUCAGUAGGGGUUCUGAGAGGAAGGCCCCCCACAUUGGAACUGAGACACGGUCCAAACUCAUACGGGAGGCAGCA
rnacentral:rRNA from 1 species